GCCACAUGAUGAUUUAUAGAUUACAUUAACACUCUGUGUAAAGAUGACUUCCUAUCUAUCACCCAAGACUGAUGGCU
ensembl:snoRNA SNORD83 Small nucleolar RNA SNORD83